rnacentral:lncRNA from 1 species
AGCCACACAAAUAUCUGGCCUCUGUGGAUCAUCCACACGAGGCUCCCGUCUGAUCAGCUCCUCACGAAUGCUAGUUCGUGAUUUCACCCUUUUGAUGGCAGAUGUUGAUCGAACUCCUUCGAUCGAUGUGUGCCGACUUCUCGGAUGCUCCGGAUCAUCUGCACAGUUGCUUGAGAGGUUGAUGGAUCUCUCCCUGAAAUUUGGUGGACUCACGACACUCGUGGCACACCAAUCUCACUUCCCGAACCCUAGGUAGAAACCUUAGGGUACACACCAAAAACCCUGCGCCCAAUUUUCUCUCUUUUGUUUCUUUUUCUCUCGAAAGGUUUUGGACCUUCACCUUACACAGAAGCCUUCCUCAUGCCCCAAAGUUUUUCUCCUAUAAUUUUUAUGCACGUCCCACCUUUCUCCUCUUUUUAAAACAACGUCGAACGUGUCUUAUUCGCGUGAGAGGAUAAAGACAAGAGGUUACACAUUUGAAUUCAAAUCAAAUUUGAAUUCAAACGAAAACCAACUUAUCCCUAUCCUUUUAGGCGUGAGAAGAGAAGG